UCUGAAAUUUUUAGAUGGGCAUUUGAAUAACUCUGGUAUGUGGGAGUCAGUUCUUGUCCACAAUAUAUUUGAGAAUGCUGUAUGUCAACAAGGAAAUUAUGAUAAAGACAAUUCUCAGAGACUUACUAGCUGUGUUACUCUUUUAUGAAUAUAAAACUACAUUUUGAGAUCUCAUUUUCUCCAAUAAAGUUCCUUUAUGUGAAUGUAUGAAUGCAAGGAAUGUAAGAAAUGCCUUCAGCUUAACCCCCAUGUACAUUAAAGAUAAUUCCAGGACAGAAAUAUAUAAUAGGAAUAAAAAUUUGUGCAGACAAGGACAACAACAAUUAUGAAAGCUGUUGCAUAUGUUCCAGAAAUUAUAUGGGAAAAAAUUGCUCAGGUUUGAAAAGACAUGACUAUGAUAAAAAUCUCUGAAUAUUAUGUUGAAAAGGGAUAGAAAAUUAUUAUUCUGUGUUUCUUAUAAUGGCAGAACUAGAAGGCAUUUAAUGAGGUUACAGGCAGCAGAUUAAAAACAAAUAAUGCAAGAGAAAGUACUUUUUUUUUUUCUUAGAGUGUGUAAUCAAAUUGUGGCUGUCACUGCCAACAGAACAUUUAAAAAACUAAAAUAGGAGCAGUUAGGAAAGCUGAUGGAGGGUUGAUCAUUGAGUGAUUUGAAACAUGUUGAACUGCAUGAUAUUGUCAGCUCAGAAAGCCACUAAUCCUUUGUUGCAGGAAUCUGGGAGAGUGUCCCAGCCAGAGGUCUUGUAAUACUUUUUUAUCCCCUCUUUGCAUAGCAUUCCCUAUGGAUAUCAUUCCAGACAAGUUGCUGGGUAGAUGGAGCUUUCAAGAAAAAGUCUGUGUUUGUAUUUUGGUAUUGGAGACACUGGAAGAAGAGAGUCCAGGAUGAUCUGCUGGCUGGGGGAGGAAUGGGAGGAAGAGAAUUUGGAAGUCAUACAGCAUCUGGAGUUGUCUGUCUGGAGCUGACAGGUUAUUACGCUGCACAUGAAAAUGGUGAUAGUGAGAACUUUGCAGCAGUGUGGGAAGCUGAGUGCAAUGCUUUUCACCCAAAAGGACUCCCGAUUGUGUAACUGGCAAUCUACAAUUCCUGGUCACGAAGUCCCAUGGCUGGCAGGAUGUGGCUGCUCAGCCCUGACUUUGUAAACCUUAGAUGGUCUCUCCACAGUGGCAGUGGCCUGGUGGUGUGUCAGCUAAGAGAGACACCCGUGGUCACACACCUGAGUCAUUACAGGGCAGGUCAUGGAGCUUGUUACUGAUAUUAAUUCCUUGUUCCUAUACACCUAUGAAAACUUCCCAGUUUUAGGACUGAAUGUUAUAUAUUUCUUUCUUUCUUUACUCUUUCUUUCCUUUCAUUGCCUUGGGAAAUGCUGUCUUGGAUAAUGAAAUAUGACAAAAGGCUUAGCUUCACUUUUCUCUUCUCUUUGUGUCCCAGAUGCAUGUACAGUUUCUGAUCCUUCCAGUUCUUUCAGCUCUGAGGACACAAGAGUGUUAGAGAAGUUAUUUUAAUUUUUCAUUUACAUUACUUAACACUUUGUUAUCAGAAUUCCAG
rnacentral:lncRNA from 1 species